rnacentral:rRNA from 1 species
CAGCCGCCGCGGUAAUACGAAGGGUGCAAGCGUUACUCGGAAUUACUGGGCGUAAAGCGCGCGUAGGCGGUGAGUUAAGUCUGCUGUGAAAUCCCCGGGCUCAACCUGGGAAUGGCAGUGGAUACUGGCUCGCUAGAGUGUGUCAGAGGAUGGUGGAAUUCCCGGUGUAGCGGUGAAAUGCGUAGAGAUCGGGAGGAACAUCAGUGGCGAAGGCGGCCAUCUGGGACAACACUGACGCUGAGGCACGAAAGCGUGGGGAGCAAACAGGAUUAGAUACCCCCGUAGUCCCUGUCUCUUAUAC